AUAAUCCCUACUUUGGGGAGUGAUUAUGAGUCUUCAGUAAGAGAAUUUGUAAAAACAAUGGUUGUGUAUACUCAGGUAUUAGCUGUUUUUCUCCAUAUAUGUAAGGUGGAUAAUUUUUUUUUUUCUUGCUCUGUUGAUACCACUAAUCAGAACUGCUAGUUGUCCUGAGUGCCUGCCUUCCCCCCAUCUCUAGUCUGUCAGCCAUGCCAUUGGAUCUUUGACAUUUCUCUGGAAUUGGUUCCUUCCAUGUUCCCCAGUUAUCCCACCUUAGUUUAGCCACUUAAGACCUCAGGAAGAGAUAACUGGUACGUUAGCUUCCUCUUUGGUCUCUGAUGUCAUCAGCUUCUAUUCCAUCUAGCCUGCAAGGACCAGACUGUUCUGUCUACAGAAGCACUUUCAUUGGGCUAGCCCGCAGAAGUCAGAUUCUGUGCUAGCAGUGCUGCUUCCUAACCAUGUCACCUUGGACCUUAUAGUCAUCCUAAGUCUUAGUUUCCUCUUCCACACCAUAGAGGUGUUGUGAGUAAUAAAUGAGUAAUGUCUAAAAAUGCCAGGUCCACAGUGACAACUCAAUAGAUAGUGGCCAGUUUUUGUUAUUACUAUGUAAGACAUAUUCAUAAGCUUGCAAAUGAAAAGACUCUAAUUUUGUGAAUAUAGAAUAUAGAGACUUUUCUGGCACUUUUAGCAUUUGGUACCUCCCUCCAUUGCACAUUCCUCAUCAAUUGAUUGUUUACAUGUUUAUAAACUAUAGACACUGGCACUUUGAGAGCAAGAAGUUUCAUUCAGCAAAUAUUUGUGAGCACCUUUUCUGGGCUAGCUGCAGGCAUCAGGAAUAUAAGGGUGAAUGAAACAGUCUGGCCCCUCUGGAAACUUAGUAUCUGAUCGGAGCGUACUGCAGUCCACCAGCAUGCUUGCUUGUCACAUCCACUGUAGAACACCAAGACAGCUCCUACCAAGUUGGAUCGCAGGACUUCUUUGCUUCAGAUCCACCGCCUGGAUUUCCAGGGCUGCUCUUAAGAGAGGCGGGUGGUGAGAGAGAAGAGAACCAUGGAUCACUGUACUGUGAAUCAGAAUGAGGACUUCACAUUCCUCAGAAAAGGAACGUCAUAGUUGUGCAUGAUCUGUGCAUAAUCCAGCUGCUUCCACUGACUUGGGGGAGGGAGAUGCUACUUGAAGGAGAAUGUAGUGUGUGUGUUGAUUAUUCCUCUGUAAGAAGGCAAAAAGUACGUAAAUGAAGAAAAGAAUGCAGCAAUGGUGA